GAUGAACGCUGGCGGCGUGCCUAAUACAUGCAAGUCGAGCGAACAGACGAGGAGCUUGCUCCUCUGACGUUAGCGGCGGACGGGUGAGUAACACGUGGAUAACCUACCUAUAAGACUGGGAUAACUUCGGGAAACCGGAGCUAAUACCGGAUAAUAUAUUGAACCGCAUGGUUCAAUAGUGAAAGACGGUUUUGCUGUCACUUAUAGAUGGAUCCGCGCCGCAUUAGCUAGUUGGUAAGGUAACGGCUUACCAAGGCAACGAUGCGUAGCCGACCUGAGAGGGUGAUCGGCCACACUGGAACUGAGACACGGUCCAGACUCCUACGGGAGGCAGCAGUAGGGAAUCUUGCGCAAUGGGCGAAAGCCUGACGGAGCAACGCCGCGUGAGUGAUGAAGGUCUUCGGAUCGUAAAGCUCUGUUAUUAGGGAAGAACAAAUGUGUAAGUAACUAUGCGCGUCUUGACGGUACCGGAUCAGAAAGCAACGGCUAACUUCGUG
rnacentral:rRNA from 1 species